rnacentral:rRNA from 1 species
AGUGAACGCUGGCGGUAGGCCUAACACAUGCAAGUCGAACGGCAGCACAGUAAGAGCUUGCUCUUACGGGUGGCGAGUGGCGGACGGGUGAGGAAUACAUCGGAAUCUGCUUUUUCGUGGGGGAUAACGUAGGGAAACUUACGCUAAUACCGCAUACGACCUACGGGUGAAAGCAGGGGAUCUUCGGACCUUGCGCGAUUGAAUGAGCCGAUGUCGGAUUAGCUAGUUGGCGGGGUAAAGGCCCACCAAGGCGACGAUCCGUAGCUGGUCUGAGAGGAUGAUCAGCCACACUGAAACUGAGACACGGUCCAGACUCCUACGGGAGGCAGCAGUGGGGAAUAUUGGACAAUGGGCGCAAGCCUGAUCCAGCCAUACCGCGUGGGUGAAGAAGGCCUUCGGGUUGUAAAGCCCUUUUGUUGGGAAAGAAAAGCAGCAGGUUAAUACCCCGCUGUUCUGACGGUACCCAAAGAAUAAGCACCGGCUAACUUCGUG